CUAACUCCCGUGUACUGCACU
rnacentral:miRNA from 1 species